ACUAUUUACAAAAGUUAGCAACAAAAUAGUAUACAACCCUAUUUACAUGUAUGUACAACACUUUUACAUCACUUUCGAUUCCCACGGCAAACCCCCAGGCGGGCAAGUCUACCGGCGGGCAACCUGACGUUUCUCACGUCAGUUACAAAACGUCACACCAAUGUCAUUGGAGCAUAUCGUUAUGCUCAAUGUUUAUUUAGUGAUGAAAGUGCUAAAAGUGUAAUUUCAGUUCAAUAAUCGUUGAAAUCGGCCAAAUUUUCAACGAAAAUCGAGGACAUAAACAGUGGUGGUGUUUUGCUGCCAGGAUGCAAUCUUUCUGCGAAAGAUUGACCUGCAGUGACCACCAAAUCUUCCCGGGAUCAACCAUGAAGCCAUCUUGACUUGCAAGAUGCACUACAGAUAUUGCCAAUUUUACCUAGUGAGCCAUCCACUCAUCGCAUCUCCACCGUCGGCGCUCGGAUGGAAGGCAAAACAUUCAACCCCUCCAUCGUUCCCCGGAUCGGCCAGUGCGACUAUGGAUACCCGUGGUAAAAUA